AGUGUCUAUUCAAACCAACAGAUACAUCUCUUAGGAAUAGACACUUUUUAACUUAAACCUUUUCGGAAUAGGUACCUUUUAAUCACAACCGGAAAAUAUAUUCACCAAAAUAUCUUCUCAAUACUUCCCCGUCAAUCAUUAACUAAUACUAACAGAAGUACAUGAAGUAGGAGGAGCCAAAACAACCAGAUGGGGUUAGAGUUAAAGAUCUUCUUUGAUCGAACGACCCUUGAAGAAAAGAUAGGCUAGAUGAUUCAGAUUGAUAGAACUGCUGCUACAAUUGAAACCAUGAAAGACUACUAUAUUGGUAACAUUUUCAAAUCAGUGUAGUACUAUUGUUUCCAUGUUUGUAAAUUUCAUUGUGCUAUAUACGUUUCUUUUGCAUCUAAUUUUUCUUGCGUAGUUGGUUUUUAUUAACGUGUGGAGAUUUCAUAAUGUCAGUCUAAAGAAGAUAGUAAGCCCUGUUUACUUGGACUACUACUUCAGUUACAUCUCACAUGUAUAUAGUUGUAUCAUUUGCAUGUUUGUUUAGUAUUAACUUUUGAAUUGAGAGUGGUUAAUUAGUUUUAAGAGAUACAUAUUUAAAAUUUGAAUUUAAUACUUAUAGUUUUGGAGAUGGUUACAACUUCUCUACUUUAAGAGCGAUAUCGUCGGAUCUCUUCCUCUUGAGUCUGCCUAUCACUCUACAAAGAUUAUUUUGCAGUGCAAACUCUAGGAUCGUAAGCAAGCAGAUAGCCACCAUUGCCUACAUUACUUUGCCAAAGAGAUUAUGGCUAAAAUUGAGGCCAGCCCAAGCCGUUAAGGUUAGUCUGUGUUUGCUUCCGUUCUAUAAGCGUACAUGUUCUUCAAGUCACCUUGAAUUCUGAUGGUCCAAAUCAACCUUGUGAUACAGUGCGGAAAUUUGGUAAGCUUGGAGGAGAUAUCUUUGGGUAAAUAUUUGUUGGUUGCAAGGCCGCUAAUAGAUACAGCUGAUGAAUGACCUUUUAAGUUGUAUAGAUUCAAGUGUUUUUUGCAUUUUACUUUCCUUGGUCCCUGCUUCUCUACAACAAGGUAUUAUUAUUUUUGUUAUUCCAAGGUAUGUAGGUUGUAAGUAUGGUGUCAAAUGUUCCAGUUCAGGAGAAGAGAUUUUAGUAGCAUUGAAAGGAAAUGUGAGAUUCUAAAUGAGAGCUAAAAUUGUGAGGUAAUUGAAUAUCGUGUUAGAUAUUGGUUUUGUGAAAUAAGAUGGAGCAAUUUAGAGCAUCUAUUUCCUCUCAGCUUCAGCUUCUUGAGAAAUUUUCACUCAUUCUAGACAUACAAAAUUUAGCCAGUUUAUUUUCCCAUUUGAAGAAUUGAGACACACAAGUUAUAUGUCUGGCAAUUAUGUCGUGAUUCUCAUGAUAUACUUGACCAAAAUUGUUUGCCCUCUAACUAACAAGAGAAAUUUCAGGUGUGAGAAGCUCAACAAACUUCUACUUGACUAGGAAACUAAGAAGAAGAAGAAAAGGCAAAAGUGUCAAUUACAGCAUAUUGAGGCUGCAUUAGACGAGCAAAGGGCGAAAGGAAGGGGAAAUUUCUGCAGUGAUAUGGGAAGGAUUGGAAAGAUAGCAGGAGAGCCCAAAGCACAAGCAGAGCAAAAUCAAGAAAAGGAGGAGCUUAAGGUGAAAGAGAAGGCAAAUAAAUCCAGACCAACUGGAAAUUGCCAACACCAUGUUUGUGUGCUAUUAAGCAUAAAUGGUACAGUAUUGAGUUUGUCGCAUAUAUCACAAAUGGUUCAUAUUCAUUUGUUUCUAUUAUCU